CUUUGCGCAGUGGCAGUAUCGUAGCCAGUGAGGUUUAUCCGAGGUGCGAUUAUUGCUAAGAAA
rnacentral:snRNA from 1 species